rnacentral:lncRNA from 1 species
GGCGGCGCGGCGGAGCUCAGCCUCGAUCUCGCGAAACCGAGCGAGACUACGGAAGGCCGAAGGAUUGGGCUCAGCAUUGCUUGGGCUAAAGGCUGACUAGGGCUUCCAGGAAGUGAUGUAUGUGAGAAGUUUGCUUUUUAAAGUGUACGUGGGAUCGUUAUUACGUCGAAAUAGCUCGAGCUGUAACCUAGGGUAAAUAAUAAUUCCUUUUCGUAUUCAUCAAGGUGCUUCUAAGUGCCAGUGCCAGGAGUCUUGCUCUGUUGCCCAGGCUUGAGUGCAGUGGCACGAUCUUGGCUCACUGCAACCUCCACCUCCCGAGUUCAAGCGAUUCUCCUGCCUCACCCUCCUGAGUAGCUGGGACUACAGGCCUGCGCCACCACACCUGGCUAACUUCUGAAUAUCAAGCUGAAAUUACUAUCAGAUAUCUUGCCACCACAUAGAGGCUUUGAGUGAAGUCUGCAUGGAGGAGAACAGAGCUGAGAGAUGGAAAGAUACUGAAUCCCAGUGACGUCCUUUGAGAUGUCGGAUCAAGCUGAGCUGGGCAUGAAGAUAGAGCUACUCCUAUACUUUUAAGAUACCAAUAACAAGCAAGAUUCAGAAGUCCAACAAGUAAGACAUUGAUUUCAUUAAGAGAGAACUAGUAAGCAAGCUAUUUGGGAAGUACACUCUCAUAAGAAUAUUGUUUCAUGAAGUCUUGAGCAACAAAGGAAAUAGUAAGUGUCCAUGAAGUGCACUGCUGUCAGACUCCCUCUAAGAAUACUUCAACUGCUCAUGAAGCGGGGGGCCUUAACUAUUUACUUCUUUUGGAAGCCUCCAUCUGGCCCAUCUAUCUUUAUUCU